UACGUAGGGUGCGAGCGUUGUCCGGAAUUAUUGGGCGUAAAGGGCUCGUAGGCGGUCUGUUGCGUCGGGAGUGAAAACUCAGGGCUUAACCCUGAGCCUGCUUCCGAUACGGGCAGACUAGAGGUAUGCAGGGGAGAACGGAAUUCCUGGUGUAGCGGUGAAAUGCGCAGAUAUCAGGAGGAACACCGGUGGCGGAGGCGGUUCUCUGGGCAUUACCUGACGCUGAGGAGCGAAAGCGUGGGGAGCGAACAGG
rnacentral:rRNA from 1 species